UGCAAAGCAUUGUAGCUCUCACACAUUGCUGUUAACAUCUCUGUCAGCUUCUUGUUUUCUUCAUUCACACGGUUCAACUCCUCCACUAAAGCACCAGUCUGCAAAAUAAGAACACCAUCAGAUUAGCUUAUAAAUCGACAGAUUCCCAGAACUUUGGAU